AGUGAACGCUGGCGGUAGGCCUAACACAUGCAAGUCGAACGGCAGCACAGUAAGAGCUUGCUCUUACGGGUGGCGAGUGGCGGACGGGUGAGGAAUACAUCGGAAUCUACUUUUUCGUGGGGGAUAACGUAGGGAAACUUACGCUAAUACCGCAUACGACCUACGGGUGAAAGCAGGGGAUCUUCGGACCUUGCGCGAUUGAAUGAGCCGAUGUCGGAUUAGCUAGUUGGCGGGGUAAAGGCCCACCAAGGCGACGAUCCGUAGCUGGUCUGAGAGGAUGAUCAGCCACACGGUAACUGAGACACGGUCCAGACUCCGACGGGAGGCAGCAGUGGGGAAUAUUGGACAAUGGGCGCAAGCCGGAUCCAGCCAUACCGCGUGGGUGAAGAAGGCCUUCGGGUUGUAAAGCCCUUUUGUUGGGAAAGAAAAGCAGCAGGUUAAUACCCCGCUGUUCUGACGGUACCCAAAGAAUAAGCACCGGCUAACUUCGUG
rnacentral:rRNA from 1 species